UUCUUGGUCGGCUGAGCAUUUGCCCUGCCCGAGUAGAAACACUGCGAGCCGUUGGAUGGGCGUCGAUGGCUGGUGACAAUUUCGUUUGGGGUUUCGGCCUCUUUUCGAGCGCGCCGCGCUUGGCCUCGUCCGACGGUGAAUCGAUGACGCGAGCCCGCACCUCAUCGUGCGUUCGGCUCUCGACAAGCGGCGGCGGUGUUCCGGCAGUUCGGUGCUUCGGCCCCGACGUCGGUCCCGUCACGUUAUUAGUCGGGAUGCUCUCGGACCGUGGCUCCGUCGUUCGCCAGUGAGUUUGGCCGCAGGCACCCUCAGGACCCGUCUUGAAACACGGACCAAGGAGUCUAGCAUGUAUGCGAGUCUCAAGGGAACUCUAUACCCUCAGGCGCAGUUAACGCAAAUGACGCUUCGGUCCUAAUGGAGGAUAGGUGACCGUACGCGGUCGCCUCGCACUCCUGGGGCGUUCCGAUCUCGUUGAGAUGGAGCGCACCAAGAGCACACAUGCUGGGACCCGAAAGAUGGUGAACUAUGCCCGGUCAGAAGAAGCCUCUGAUGGAGGUUCGUAGCGAUUCUGACGUGCAAAUCA
rnacentral:rRNA from 1 species